rnacentral:rRNA from 1 species
UACGAAGGGGGCGAGCGUUGUUCGGAAUCACUGGGCGUAAAGGGCGCGUAGGCGGCCCUCUUAGUCGCGUGUGAAAGCCCCGGGCUCAACCUGGGAACGGCGCGCGAAACGGGAGGGCUGGAGUUCGGGAGAGGAGAGUGGAACUCCGAGUGUAGAGGUGAAAUUCGUAGAUAUUCGGAAGAACACCAGUGGCGAAGGCGGCUCACUGGUCCGGUACUGACGCUGAGGUGCGAAAGCGUGGGGAGCAAACAGG